rnacentral:rRNA from 1 species
GACGAACGCUGGCGGCGUGCUUAACACAUGCAAGUCGAACGGAAAGGCCCUGCUUUUGUGGGGUGCUCGAGUGGCGAACGGGUGAGUAACACGUGAGUAACCUGCCCUUGACUUUGGGAUAACUUCAGGAAACUGGGGCUAAUACUGGAUAGGAGCUCCUGCUGCAUGGUGGGGGUUGGAAAGUUUCGGCGGUUGGGGAUGGACUCGCGGCUUAUCAGCUUGUUGGUGGGGUAGUGGCUUACCAAGGCUUUGACGGGUAGCCGGCCUGAGAGGGUGACCGGCCACAUUGGGACUGAGAUACGGCCCAGACUCCUACGGGAGGCAGCAGUGGAGAAUAUUGCACAAUGGGCGGAAGCCUGAUGCAGCAACGCCGCGUGAGGGAUGACGGCCUUCGGGUUGUAAACCGCUUUCGCCUGUGACGAAGCGUGAGUGACGGUAAUGGGUAAAGAAGCACCGGCUAACUACGUG